GUAGGUGGCAAGCGUUGUCCGGAAUUAUUGGGGCGUAAAGCGCGCGCAGGCGGUUCUUUAAGUCUGAUGUGAAAGCCCACGGGCUCAACCGUGGAGGGUCAUUGGAAACUGGAGAGCUUGAGUACAGAAGAGGAAAGCGGAAUUCCACGUGUAGCGGUGAAAUGCGUAGAGAUGUGGAGGAACACCAGUGGCGAAGGCGGCUUUCUGGUCUGUAACUGACGCUGAGGCGCGAAAGCGUGGGGAGCAAACAGGAUUAGAUACCCUGGUAGUCCACGCCGUAAACGAUGAGUGCUAAGUGUUAGGGGGGUUUCCGCCCCUUAGUGCUGCAGCUAACGCAUUAAGCACUCCGCCUGGGGAGUACGGCCGCAAAGGCUG
rnacentral:rRNA from 1 species